UCCCUGGAGGAUUAGUGGUUAGGCCUCGGCGCUCUCACCACCGCGGCCCGGGUUUAAUUCUUGGCCAGGGAA
rnacentral:tRNA from 1 species